GAUUUAUGUCACAAAUUGACAUAAAAAGUAUCAAUUAAUAUCUAAAUUAUCUAACUUUAUUAAAAAAUUGAUACUUGUUAUUAUAUUUUGCAGAAGAAGAGAUCAUCAAUAGAAAGAACAAGGAAAGAGGAUUCCAACGGCGUAAAUUUUAUGCAAAACGGAGUUAAAUUGACCCAGGAAUUGAAGAAUAAAGAAAGAAGAC
rnacentral:lncRNA from 1 species